GACGAACGCUGGCGGCGUGCCUAAUACAUGCAAGUCGAGCGAACUUAACUAAAUGAAUGCGGUGCUUGCACCAAGUGAUUUUAGAGCGGUGAGUGGCGGACGGGUGAGUAACACGUGGGUAACCUGCCCAGAAGCGGGGGAUAACAUUUGGAAACAGAUGCUAAUACCGCAUAAAAGUCAAAACCACAUGGUUUUGAUUUAAAAGAUGGCCUUUGUGCUAUCACUUCUGGAUGCACCCGCGGCGUAUUAGCUAGUUGGUAAGGUAAUGGCUUACCAAGGCAAUGAUACGUAGCCGAACUGAGAGGUUGAUCGGCCACAAUGGGACUGAGACACGGCCCAUACUCCUACGGGAGGCAGCAGUAGGGAAUCUUCCACAAUGGGCGCAAGCCUGAUGGAGCAACACCGCGUGAGUGAAGAAGGGUUUCGGCUCGUAAAACUCUGUUGUUAAAGAAGAACGUAUCUAAGAGUAACUGCUUAGGUAGUGACGGUAUUUAACCAGAAAGCCACGGCUAACUACGUGCCAGCAGCCGCCGUAA
rnacentral:rRNA from 1 species